CCUACGGGUGGCUGCAGUCGAGAAUCAUUCACAAUGGGGGAAACCCUGAUGGUGCGACGCCGCGUGGGGGAAUGAAGGUCUUCGGAUUGUAAACCCCUGUCAUGUGGGAGCAAAUUAAAAAGAUAGUACCACAAGAGGAAGAGACGGCUAACUCUGUGCCAGCAGCCGCGGUAAUACAGAGGUCUCAAGCGUUGUUCGGAAUCACUGGGCGUAAGGCGUGCGUAGGCUGUUUCGUAAGUCGUGUGUGAAAGGCGCGGGCUCAACCCGCGGACGGCACAUGAUACUGCGAGACUAGAGUAAUGGAGGGGGAACCGGAAUUCUCGGUGUAGCAGUGAAAGGCAUAGAUAUCGAGAGGAACACUCGUGGCGAAGGCGGGUUCCUGGACAUUAACUGACGCUGAGGCACGAAGGCCAGGGGAGCGAAAGGGAUUAGAUACCCCAGUAGUC
rnacentral:rRNA from 1 species